CCUACGGGGGGCAGCAGUGAGGAAUAUUGGUCAAUGGGCGUAAGCCUGAACCAUCCAAUUCUCGUUAUGGAUGAAGGUUCUAUGGAUCGUAAACCUCUUUUAUAAGGGAAUAAAGUGUGGGACGUGUCCUAUUUUGUAUGUACCUUAUGAAUAAGGAUCGGCUAACUCCGUGCCAGCAGCCGCGGUAAUACGGAGGAUCCGAGCGUUAUCCGGAUUUAUUGGGUUUAAAGGGUGCGUAGGCGGCCUUUUAAGUCAGCGGUGAAAGUCUGUGGCUCAACCAUAGAAUUGCCGUUGAAACUGGGGGGCUUGAGUAUGUGUGAGGCAGGCGGAAUGCGUGGUGUAGCGGUGAAAUGCUUAGAUAUCACGCAGAACCCCGAUUGCGAAGGCAGCCUGCCAAGCCAUGACUGACGCUGAUGCACGAAAGCGUGGGGAUCAAACAGGAUUAGAUACCCGAGUAGUC
rnacentral:rRNA from 1 species